CAAAAUUCCCGAACAAACCUGCGAGAUUCGCGGUGGACGACGACGCGAUCAACUCGAACGCGUUUAGUUUCUUCCCGCUUUCCUCUAGAUCGUAAUCAUCAAUUUGAACCUUGGUUCGAAAUUGCGGGUGGCGACAAGAAGCGAGGAGGUGGGAGCUUAGCGCCUAGCGCCAUGGCGGUACAAAGCGAUACCUGCAACAGAACAAGGCACAACUAAACGCCGCUUUUAGCGCUCUAUGGAUAUUGCAAAAGCGAGGAAGAAGCGAGAAAAGCUAGGGAUCUAUGUACCUCGCCUGGCAAGGGUGUCCCUAAGCGUUGAGGGCAUCGCCUUGGGCGCCUUAGCGCCAUGGCGACAAAAACUCUCGCUUUUUCGAACCAAGAUUUGAACCCCGACGAUCUCGCUCGGAUCCACUCUGUGGUUGAACCAGGGAUCCUUCAGAAUCUCCUCCACGGUGAUCCGUUUCUCCGAAGAUUCAUUAGCUCCGGAGAAGUCCACUCCGGCAUGGUGUAUUGAGCCGUUCGGAUUCUCCGGUAGAGUCCCGAGAUGUUUGAAUCUCGAAACGGUGAGUAGCCUGCGUUGAGAAGAAACAAAGCGACGCCGCAUGACCAUAUAUCCGUCGUAUCCUUUCUUCGUUAAAAGCUCGGGUGCCACGUAAGCAGGGGGUCCCACAUAGAGUAUGUAGCAUCCCGUCGGAUUUGAUCUGCUCCUCCAUCGCGCUGAGACCAAAAUCGGAAACCUUCAGAUCUCGAUUCUCGUCGAGGAGGAGAUUCUCCGGUUUGAGAUCACUGUGGUAAACUCCCCCUCGCGUGGCAGUACCUUACGGCGGAGAUCAAUUGCCGGAAAUAUUUCCGGCUGAGACCUUCAGUGAAACGGUUGCUCGAGACUCGGGGGAACAGCUCGCCGCCCUUGGCGAGCUCCAUGACGAAGAUCUUCUUCGUCUUGGUGUCGAGGACUUCGGAGAGGAGGACGAUGUGAGGGUGGCGGAGGCCGCACAUGACGGAGAUCUCUCUCUUGACUUGCGCCGUGAGUCCGUCUUUUAGACGCUUCUUCUGGACGACUUUGAUCGCGACGCUUUCGCGGUCGUUGUGAAGAUCCUCCGCUUGGUAGACUUUGGCGAACGCGCCACUGCCUAGAAGCUUUCCGAGGUCGUGUUUGCCGAAUAUAGCUGAUUUGUUAUCGUCUCCGUCGACGUUGAGGAUGAUAGAAUCAGAAGUCUUCGCCUGACAUUUUUUAAAACAGUGAUACAAAUUGAAAAGACAUGCGCGCGGUGCCUCUCUUCAUAAAAUUCUCAAUUGCCACGUCAUCUAUAUUUUAAAAAAUGAUUUUUAUUUUUAUUUUUAUUUGACUUUCUUGGUAUGUGAAAUUAAUCAUCAUAUACGACAAUUUCAAUGCCAUACUAUUAUAAUUUUACUAACUGGAACUAAGUUAGGAAUAUGCUAAUAACCGGGUUAGUAAGAAAGAGGCUCAUUCCUCCUACCUUAUCAAGAAAACAAACAUGCUUACUGCUUCAAGUCUCUCUAAUCCUUGUUUGUUAAGAAAUUUGUGCAAUGGGAUGCUUUGAGCAAGUCACAAAGAAGCUAGUUAACUGCGAUACCAGUGAGUGAUAUAACAUGAGUACGCAAAAACGAAACUUAGAAAACAUAAGAGCAUCAUUAUCCCAUAUACCCAUUUUAGGGGUUCUUAGUUAUUCUUUAAUACUUUUAAGUAGGAAAAGUGAAUUUAAGAGACUUAGUUAAAAGCAUCAUUAUCCCAAAAAUCCUUUUAGGAUCCCUUAACAACCUACAUUGAUAAGCUCUACCAUGAAACAACACCUAUCUAGUUCAUGCUUGU